AACGAACGCUGGCGGCAUGCCUAACACAUGCAAGUCGAACGAGACCUUCGGGUCUAGUGGCGCACGGGUGCGUAACGCGUGGGAACCUGCCCUUAGGUUCGGAAUAACUCCCCGCAAGGGGUGCUACUACCGGAUAAUGUCUUCGGACCAAAGAUUUAUCGCCCUUGGAUGUGCCUGCGUUGGAUUAGCUAGUUGGUAGGGUAAAAGCCUACCAAGGCGACGAUCCAUAGCUGGUCUGAGAGGAUGAUCAGCCACACUGGGACUGAGACACGGCCCAGACUCCUACGGGAAGCAGCAGUGGGGAAUAUUGGAACAUGGGCGAAAGCCUGAUCCAGCAAUGCCGCGUGAGUGAUGAAGGCAUUAGGGUUGUAAAGCUCUUUUACCCGGGAUGAUAAUGACAGUACCGGGAGAAUAAGCUACGGCUAACUCCGUG
rnacentral:rRNA from 1 species